rnacentral:lncRNA from 1 species
UUAGUGAAUGCAUUCUUUUCUGCUCGUCCUGGUUGUUGCAAGGAGACAUCAGGCAUUGUAAUGGAUGGAUGACGAUGUGUCGCUGGCAAACCUACACCGUGUGCAUUUUCUUGGUGGAUAUCUUGGGCAAAUGUGCAAUAUGACGAGGGAUAUCUUGGGCAAAUAUCUUAUAUAAAUUGGUACGAUUGGUUACCUUAAAUUACUAAAGAAGGAUGAUGUUGUAAGGUUAGUGGAUAUUUAUAAUAGUGAUAAAAUGGGGUUUCCCUAUGAAUAGGAACAAAGUAAGGCUGCCUAAUUAAGUGGAAACAAUAUUGCGCAGUGUAACAAUCUAAAAAUAUGGCGGACUGAAAUCUGUAAAAAUGAUGCAUGUUUAAUUUAAAACAUGCAAAAAUUGCGGCAUAAAUAUAUCACGAAACAUGCUCCUUACAACUACAUGCUAUGUUUAUAGGAAUUUGAAUAAGUUUUUAGUAGGCAUGAUUUAGGAUUUUUGUUUUAUUUUCAUUUAUGAUUUUCUAUAAAUGCCCCAACUAGUUUAUAUCUAAUACGUAAUGUAUAAUAUAUAGAUUGUAAAUUUUUUGAUCUAGAAAAUAAUAGAGUUCUUAUACAACUACAUGCUGUGUUGGGUUGUUAGGGUUGAAUAAGUUUUUAGUAGGCAUGAUUUAGGAUUGUUUUUAUUUAUGAUUUUCUAUAGACUGCCCCCCCCCCCCCUCGUGGUGGAAGGAUAACAGCCUGUGGCCAUUUGUCACUAAUGCUGCACAGUGAUGUAGUCGUAUAAAUAGAUAUAAUAUUGUGCACUUCAGUGGCUUUCUAAUUUUAUUAUCCAAUCAGGUGUGUUACUUUAAAUAGAACUUAUUGUAUGUAAACAAGGUCAAUAGACAACGUUUGGGACAACAUUGCUUUCUUUAACAUAUAGCAUAAUUUGUCUUCGUCAUUUUGUGCACAAUGAAGUAUUGGGUCAUUCCAGAAAACAUCCAUACCCCCCCCCCCACGGAGGAAAUAGGAAGUUAACCCCCUACCCCCUUCGGAUGCCCUAAUACAUUUACUAUUAUCAGAAACAAUUUUUUGUCCCCUCCCCCUCCGGAUGGCAGAAAUUUCCUCUGUGUGGGGAGUAUGGAUCUAUUCUGGAACGACCCAUUCAAGGCAAAGAAAAUAUGCAAGCAUUAAAUAUUUCCUGCAUUAUUUCUCAAUCCUUGUUCAAUGACAAAAACAUACUUAAAUUAAAUUUGUAAUAUAGGAAAAAUAGAUUUUCUGUAAUAUAUAUUUAUCUGAAACAACCUCAUGCUAUGUACACUUUUGUAAGUUGUCUGUUUGUUUCAAAACUUCCAAUAGUGUACAUUAAAACAAGUAAGACUGAAGAAUCAUCUAAAAUUCUUAAAAAAACAAAAACAAAAAAAACACCUCAUGCUAUGUUGAUAGGAAUUUGAAGUUUUUAGUAGGCAUGAUUUAGGAUUUUUGUUUCUAUUCAUGAUUUUCUAUAAAUGGGUGCCCACCUAAUUUUUGAGAUAUGAUAUGAAUUCAUGAUAUAUUUAUCACAUAAAAGAGUGGCAGUGUCAUCACAACAGUAUAAAAACCAAUUACUGUGGGCUCAAUUUUACAAAUACUGUAUAAAUAUACAAUAACAUAACUUAAUUUAUGAGAAUAAAUACAACUAUCAGGAACAACAAGAGAGUGGAGUAGCAAGACUACAAGCAGUGUUACAUUUCAAACAGAUUCUUAGUUUAUAUUGAUAGCAGUAAUGUACCAUCUGUAUAACAUACAGUUGUAAAAUUUGUAACGUCUCUCUGGAGCAGGGGGUGAGCGGAGGUGAGACACUGGGAACGAGGAUGGGCUCAUAUUCGUUCUUAAGAGUUUUUUGUAGGGCAUAUAGACGGGGGGACUCAUAUAUGGGGGGGGGUAUUCAAAUGUUACAUAUCAAAAUCUAAGUUAGUCCUUUAUGAAUGCAAUAAAACAUUCAAGUAUACUAGCUUUUGUAGUUUUUGUUACAUUUAAUCAAACAGCACAAGUUGUUUUUUUUUGGGGGGGGCACAGUCUUUCUUUAGGUUGUAAAGCGAUGAUUGGGCUAAGAAAAUUUCAAUACGUCAUUGCUGUUGAAAUGACUUAAUUCAUCACUAAUAAUACGAAAGCUUAUGUUGCUCAUAAUAUAUCAUCCAGCGUCUAUUUUUGAGAAAAUUGUUGCACAAACCAUGUUCCAAAAACGUCCAGAUUAGUUAGAUUAUUGUUUUCUAAAACAUUGCGCGGCUCGUGAUUUUAGAACUCGUUUUAUGCUUUAACCCAUUGAGUGGCUCCACUUGACAAAUAAAAUCCUGUGGCGUUAGACAGUAAAAUACUAAAGUAGGGUGCAUCUGGGUGCAAUGCAACUUAAAGGGUUAAAUUAACCAAAAAAAGUUCAUACAUUUGUUUGAAAAAAGAUUUUAACACAGUACCAUGCCUGUUUGUAUUUUGAAGUUCCUUGAGUUAAACAUGAUACUGCAUAAAACCCUAGUAUAGGGAACCACCUCCAGACCAAUUUACACUCACCUGCGACAAAAUAGGGAGGUUGUGUGCUUGAUUUGCACAGUGCAACUCAAGUUGUAAGCAUCUUGCAUGGGACCAUCUGAUGCACAAGACUUUCCUCUUGAUGAGUAAAAUGAUCUGAUAUCAGUCAUUUGAGUUCCUUUGCAGCUUAAGGAGUUAAUCCUAUUUAUCUUAGAGAACAGCAAUUCAACUAUCUGGCUGGCUUGACAAAUAACUAUACACCAACAAUGUGUGCAAAGGCAAUUAAGAGUGUAUCCUUGGAAAAUUUUAUCUGAGAUUAUGCAGAGUUGUUUACAACUUUUUUGUUCAAGCCUAGUGACUUAUUUCAGUGCAUGAAAAUCAUCCCACCUUUCAUCCUGUCCUGACAAACUGGGAUCAUGUAAACAGCACAUUUAGCCAUUAAGUUGAUUUGCACUCUAAUUUUCCUACUUAUAUUAUUUAACUCUGUCUAACGUCAUACAAUUUUAUUAAGCAGGGGGUGCACUGGCAGUUAAUUAAUGGGUAACUAGACACAUGGGCAGUCUCAUUAUGAAGCAUAAAAUCGUCUAGCGUUGGACAGUAAAAUACUCAAGUAGAGCAUGCAUCAGGGCACAGUACAACCUAAUGGUUAAAUUUGUUUUUUUGUAGCAAAAUGGUUUAAGUUUUAUAUCUGAAUUUAAAAAAAAAUUUUUUGCUUUGUUUUACAGAUCAUUACUUGAACGUGC